rnacentral:lncRNA from 1 species
UUUUCAGAAGACAGGAGUACUCUGGUUAUGGGUUUUGAAUGUCACUUUAGAUUGGAAUCCAAAUUGAGAAAAAAUUUAGGCAUGCUUUUGGAAGGCUAGGCAAAAGGAGCUUAAGCUAAUCCUAAAUGGGAUGAAAACCAGAAUAUGCAGUUCCCCGGGAAUCAGUAGAAAUUCUCCAUAAAGCUGACCUCUGAAUCUAUAAAAAUGAUAUAGGUUACUACAGAUGUGAUAAAUUCAUUUGAGCAAUAAAAAAAAAAUGAUAUAGGCAAAUUUGCCAUUGUCUGUCCUAAAUUCAAUUAGUUGUACUUAAAACAUCUAGAUAGAGUUAUGUCUUGGUGUCUGAAUAACUUGCCGCAAGAAAAGAUGCCAGUUAGGGGAAGGUUUCAUGCCUCCAGCUAUGGCUACAUGUGACCUCAAGUCUUCAGAGGGGGGAGGGAGAGCAUGGGACCAGCAGGCACAGAGUGGGCCUUCAAGAGAGAGGCAUGUGCACAUUGGUUUUGCUUCAUUGAGAGCAUUAGGCAUCUAAUCUGCUCUGUCUUUGCCUGAAUUCAGCUGCCUUUUAUUCCAGCCUCUUCCGUUUGAUGUGCAUCACUCUUUGUUUCCACUCUGCUCCCCUUUCAUGGUGCUUCUUCAGGGGCUGUAAAUUUUGAAUGGCUCUCAUGUCUAUAGCGUUUCCUGAAUUGCAGAUCUGGACAGUACUGAAGGGCAGCCGGGCCUCCCCAAGAGCCUGUUUUGCUUGACCAAGUGCUUUGGCUGUAUUGAUUUUGUAUGAGAAAUUCUGGGAUAACAUUCAGUUCCUUCAUGGUUCUUAAAAAUCUCAGUCAUCAACGGGCUUUGUAUUUCAGGCAAGAGACACAAUG